GAUGAACGCUGGCGGCGUGCCUAACACAUGCAAGUCGAACGGUAACAGGCUCUGUAGCAAUACAGAGUGCUGACGAGUGGCGGACGGGUGCAAAACGCGUAAACAAUCUGCCCUUUAGACGGACAUAACCUUGAGAAAUCAGGGCUAAUUUCCGAUACGUUCCCGAGGCCGCAUGGUCUUGGGAGGAAACCCCGCAAGGGGCUGAAGGAGGAGUUUGCGUCUGAUUAGCUUGUUGGCGGGGUAAUGGCCCACCAAGGCGAUGAUCAGUAGCUGGUCUGAGAGGACGGCCAGCCACACUGGGACUGAGAUACGGCCCAGACUCCUACGGGAGGCUG
rnacentral:rRNA from 1 species